CCAGUUCAAAAUGGCGAGUCCCAGUAAAAUACCAAGAAGUGACAGUGAGACGGUUGUCGGUUAUCUGCAUAGUGUGUCUCCUAUGAAGAUGUCCAAGAACAGCAGGCGAUAUUUUGAGGCCACCUUGCAGACGGGGAAGGGAGGCAUACAAUCGUGUCGUCUGCUUCUCCCCCGAGAAGCGGGACCAGUUUGUUCACGCGGCAGAAAACAGGCAGGCGGUGAAAUUGUUUGCCACGCGGAAAAGCAUCAGCUACAGCAGUCCAGGGGACUUCGAUGUGUUGGUGUCGAGCUACAGCAGGCUUGACGCGUUUGGGGACCUUCCCUUCACCCAUAGGGCACCGAGCAGCACCUCUGACCGGCUGACCGUGGUCGAUGUUUUGGGUUUGGGUCCCAGGCAGAGGGUGGGAGUCAUCAACCUCAAGGUACUUCAGCUCCUGGACAAUAGGGUGGUGGAGAUCCAAGGAGCGUCGAUGGAGCUGAAAUGCUUUGAGGUUUGUGACUCCACCGGACAGACGGCGUUGAGCGUGUGGGAUCGGCUGAUCUCCACCGUCCAGCUCGGCCAAUGCUACACCUUCUGUUCGCUGACGGCAAGGAAGGAUGGGAGCCGCACUGUUUUAACCACUACCCCAUCCACACUGGUCACCGCCACCACGGGUGUAGGGCAGCCUUCUUCCCUCAGGCAGGUGACUGUCACGGACGUGGAGAUUCUGUGCGGGCCGGCGACCGCGGUCAAGAGCGUGGCAAAGCCCAGGUGUCCACGAUGCCACGUCGGACAGGACCAGUUGGACGUCAAAUGCUCGACCCACCGCUGUGAGUCGAACAUGUGCUCCAUGCUGCAGCGCACACCAGCGUAUCUGGUGACGUACUCGGGGGUGCUUAUCGUGGCACCCAAAGAUGUCGAUGAGCGCUCCAUGCAAUUGACAAACUCCACGGUGAUGGGGUUUGUCAAGAAGUUUUGUGUGGCGUGCAACGUCCAUGAUGGCCCAGCCCUGGAAGAGACCAUCAUGGCGUUGCCAGAGCUGGUCGUUUCUGUUAAUGCAGUAGGACUGGUGGUGCGCUUCGCUCCGGCCGUAGCUGUAAGAGAGGCUAUGGCUGACUGCUCCCUGGGCGACAUUCUGGACACGGAGGAGGCUUCGACGUCCUAUCUUCUGGAUGACUGAAAUUUUGUCGACACCAUCAAACUGUCGUUUGAUGGUGGUGUUUACUUUGAUAUUGAAAAAUAAACUAUGUUUUGAUUUAA
ensembl:lncRNA